ACCUUCCGCUGUCUUGCGGGCUCAGGCGCUCAGCCGCCCUCGAAGUCUGGCUCCAGGCUCCGGCGGCGUGUCCACGUUGUCGCCCUCAUAGGCUGGUGCCUGCCUGGUGGUCGCCAUUCCGCUGCGCACAGGCGCACAGCCCAAUCCAGUACAAACAGCAGCAGCUUCGCCUCCACCUCCACGCGAGCCAAGCGCCCGGCCCGGCUCCCGCAGCGCAAAACCCUAGCCUCGCCCGCCCCAAACCCUUGGCGGCUACGGUCUCUGAUCCCGGUCCAAUGGCGUCGUCGCCGGACUUGUUCCCUAACGUUGCCUUCUCCGACGUCUCUGCCGCCGCCCCCGCGGCCGAGGCCACCGCCGCGUUCGGGCUCGGCGCCACCACCGGGGCCCCGCGCCUCUGCCUCGUCAAGUCCGGGAAGGACGAGGCGGAGCCCACGGUCGACAUCGACCUCGCCGAUGCGCAGGUAUUUAAGUUGGGACCGAUGGAGUGGCUGUGCGUGUGCGACGAGUCGGAGGCUAAGGCUGGCGUGGAAGAGAAGUCAUUUUCAAGAGCAAUUAAGGUUGUUCUUAGGACAGAAGCUGAGAGCAAAGCCUUCUCUUUAGCUUUUCAACAAUGGAAACACCAAGUUAUUAGUGGAAAAGCUGGUGAGAGGUUGGAGAAUGGAUCAAUAAUUGCUUCGAAAAGCAAAUUUGAUACAAAAAUUGAGGCAUCAUCAGCAAAGAUGUAUUUCCACUACUACGGGCAAUUAUUACAUCAGCAAAACAUGUUACAAGAUUUUGUUCGGACAGGAACAUACUAUGCUGCUGUAAUGGAAAACCGAUCUGACUUUGAGGGUCGAGUUGUGGUUGAUGUUGGGGCUGGAAGUGGUAUUCUGUCGUUAUUUGCUGCCCAGGCUGGUGCCAGACAUGUCUAUGCAGUUGAGGCAUCCGAAAUGGCUGAAAAUGCUCAACGUCUAAUGUCCGGGAAUCCGUCACUUGGACAGCGGAUCACGGUCAUCAGGGGCAAGGUCGAGGAAGUAGAGCUUCCAGAAAAAGCUGACAUAUUGAUUUCUGAGCCUAUGGGAACCCUUUUGGUUAAUGAAAGGAUGCUAGAGUCCUAUGUCAUAGCUAGAGACAGAUUCCUUGCUCCAGAUGGUAAAAUGUUUCCAACAACAGGAAGGAUUCACAUGGCUCCAUUUUCUGAUGAAUACCUUUAUGUUGAAAUAGCAAACAAGGCUCUCUUUUGGCAGCAGCACAAUUUUUUUGGUGUUGAUCUUACACCUUUACAUGGUUCAGCAUUCCAGGGAUAUUUUUCACAGCCUGUUGUGGAUGCAUUUGACCCAAGAUUAUUAAUUUCUCCACCAAUAUAUCAUACACUUGAUUUUACUAGCAUGAAGGAAGAGGAGCUUUACGAGAUUGAUAUCCCUCUGAGUUUUGUAGCAUCUGUUGGCACUAGAGUACAUGGAUUGGCUUGUUGGUUUGAUGUGUUGUUCAAUGGGAGCACUGUGCAAAGGUGGCUUACCACUGCUCCAGGAUCUCCUACCACUCACUGGUACCAACUGCGAUGUGUGCUUUCACAGCCAUUGUAUGUGAUGGCCGGCCAAGAAAUAACUGGCCGCCUUCAUCUCGUAGCCCAUAGUGCUCAAAGCUACACAAUAUACUUGACAAUGUCAGCUAAAAUGUGGGGUGUGGGUGCGGAGCAAGGCGGUAUCCUACAAACAUCUACAGGAAAACUUGAACUCAAGGAGCCGUACUACAGGUUGUCUCAGCCGCAAUCCUACAUGUUGCCACAAGAUCAACAGCAGCAGCAGCAAUUGUCAUCUUUGCAGCCACACGGAUCGGAGCAGCAGAUGCAGGAAGGGCUUAGCCCAGGCAUCACGAUAGACCAAGUAGACAAAGAUUACGGCCUCAACUAGACAGACUUGAGAACCUGAGUUGGAUGCUCUGAUAUUCCAGCAACGAGCUCAGCUGGCUGAAGCCUGGAUCCGAUCUGAAUCUGCCGGGCGUUCGUUCAGUUGGAAAACAGCAGGAAUCCUACACACGUGAGUCCCGUGCGGGACGGUCUGCUAGAUCGCGGAGUGCAUCAAACGGUGCUGCCGGCAAUGGAAUAUCCCGUCCCAGCCAGCCUGCGUGCUUCCACCAACUUUGGAAGCGAUUUCCUUGCGUACCAUGCCGUCUCGUCGUUGCCAAGAAGCUUUCAAGUACGGGCAGUAUAGAUCUGUCAACUGUCGUACCCAAAUCUGUCGAUCGAACGUGUCGACAAAUCUUCUGUUGCUUAACCUCAAAGCAAAAUUGCGAAGGUUGCCAUGCCAGCAGCUUCCUGCCAACGGUCGUACCUAAAACUGUCGAUGACAUCUCGUAUGUAUGCAGUCUCAUCAAAAUUGUGCUGCAUUCCCACCCGAAAUUUCUAGAACCUGGUUUCGACGCUCGACAUCAUCGUUUAUGGCCCACCAGCGGCAGUGCCCUCCAAUUUGAACCACUAGCACACAGAUCGAUCCGCGCUAUUCGAGAAAAAAAGAGACACAGGCCGGUUACGCCGUUGGCGACGUGCCCAUCACGGAGCGGCUACGUGUCGGUCCCGCUCCAGAGUGUUCUUGCACAGCCUGGACGGUGCCGAUGGAGAGUGCCACAAAUCGGACGGCCCGACGAUGCCGCCCGCCCCCUAUAUAGCCCUCUUUCCCGGCCCUUCCGUCUCCUCGUUCUUCCAGCGAAGCAAGCAGCCUAAAAAAACCGUAUCGUCUCGCCUGUUCAGUUUCCUUCUCCUCUUCCCGCAGCCCGGUUUGCCGACCAGGUUCCACCGUUCCAGA